GCUUUAUUCUCUCUUUAAUAUGUUAAUACAUGCAGUUGAUUUCUUUAAGUAAAUACGCAUCUAUAAAACAACACGUACUUUAUGAAAAAGAAAUCAUUUAAAUAAUAAUCCAUUAGCAAAGUUGGCAACAAUUUAAGAGGAACAACCCAUUAAUACCAACGCGUGGGAAUCAAUUUGCGAAUUUUAAUUCGGUUGGGUGGUGGGUUACCGACGACCAAGGAGGAGGACCUGCGAGUGUGUGCGCGCUUAGGAAAAUAUUUUAAUGAGUCUCCGGACAUCAGGACUCGAAUCCUUUGCUUCAGGUGCUGGCUCCCAGUAGGUCGAAAACUGCGAGUCCUCACGUGGAUCAGCGUUUUGCCGAUAUCCUCUGGAGAUUGCAGCUGUGGGCCAAAAGCAGGCCCGACCGCCACGUCGACCCCGCGGCUUUUACGGGUCUGAGGCCAUUUGGUGUUCCCACUGGAGUCUUGUUAAAAAAAGGCAAGGAGAGAAAAAGCAUGUAAUAAAGAACAUUGCAACACAUCUCCGUGAAAACAUCCCCCCUGACAUGGAUCUGGUGCUCAGAUAAACUUGUCCCCAGGUUUCUGAGAAAUGCUACUGCCAGGCCUGGAUGUUGGCCAGGAAGGGAAAGAUCAAAGGGAAGCCAGGCUUUCUUUAGAUGAGCAACCAUGGUGGCUGCUACUUCCUGUGGAGCAAGAGGAACGUGGACUGUAAGGGUCAUGUGCACGGGGUGGGAAGCGCUGGUGGGUGAGCUGGGGUCCCCCCAAUGAUGGAUUGUUGGGGAGCUUUCUUUCAAGGCACUAAUAAACACACAAGCGGCUCCAGUUCUUGAAAAAUG
rnacentral:lncRNA from 10 species